rnacentral:rRNA from 1 species
GACGAACGCUGGCGGCGUGCUUAACACAUGUAAGUCGAACGGAAAGGCCCUGCUUGCAGGGUACUCGAGUGGCGAACGGGUGAGUAACACGUGGGUGAUCUGCCCUGCACUUCGGGAUAAGCUUGGGAAACUGGGUCUAAUACCGGAUAGGAGCCAUCUUUAGCGUGGUGGUUGGAAAGUUUUUUCGGUGUAGGAUGAGCUCGCGGCCUAUCAGCUUGUUGGUGGGGUAAUGGCGUACCAAGGCGGCGACGGGUAGCCGGCACGAGAGGGUGGACGGCCACACUGGAAUCGAGAGACGGGCCAGACUCCGAAGUGUGGCAGAAGGGGGGAAUAUUGGAUAAUGGGCGCAAGCCUGAUGCAGCGACGCCGCGUGGGGGAUGAAGGCCUUCGUGGUGUAAGCUCCUUUCGCUAGGGACGAAGCGUUUUUGUGACGGUACCUAGAUAAGAAGCACCGGCUAACUACGUG